GCCUUCGUGGUGUAGCGGUUAGCACACUCACCUGUGCUCGAGAGGUCCGUGGUUCGAGUCCCGCCGAGGGCA
rnacentral:tRNA from 1 species